rnacentral:rRNA from 1 species
UACGGAGGGUGCGAGCGUUGUCCGGAAUCACUGGGCGUAAAGGGCGCGUAGGCGGCGCGGGAAGUCAUCGGUGAAAGUUCAGGGCUCAACUCUGAAUCGGCCGGUGAUACUCUCGUGCUUGAGCACUGUAGAGGCAGGUGGAAUUCCGGGUGUAGCGGUGGAAUGCGUAGAGAUCCGGAAGAACACCGGUGGCGAAGGCGGCCUGCUGGGCAGUAGCUGACGCUGAUGCGCGACAGCGAUGGGGAGCAACA